CAGUCGCCACGGUAAAACGGAGGGGGCUAGCGUUGUUCGGAAUUACUGGGCGUAAAGCGCACGUAGGCGGCUUUACAAGUCAGAGGCGAAAGCCUGGAGCUCAACUCCAGAAUUGCCUUUGAGACUGUAUCGCUUGAACACGGGAGAGGUGAGUGGAAUUCCGAGUGUAGAGGUGAAAUCCGUAGAUAUUCGGAAGAACACCAGUGGCGAAGGCGGCUCACUGGUCCGUUGUUGACGCUGAGGUGCGAAAGCGUGGGGAGCAAACAGGAUUAGAUACCCCGGUAGUCCCUGUCUCUUAUAA
rnacentral:rRNA from 1 species